AAACAGCUGAAGUCAGUGACUUCAAUAGCACCUCUGUGGUGCAAGUUUGGAGCAAUGGUUAAUUACAGAUCAUGGAUAUGGAGGCUGUUGCAGGUUUUCCUUGCCUAUAUUUCUGUUCAAAUGGGGCUUACACAUUCAGCCAGGAGAGGAGAUAACAUGUUUUCUUGUUGGUGGAGGUAGGUCCCAUGAGACAUGGAGUUUUGCUAUUGAAGAAUAGGACUAGAAAUGAGCCUGAACAAAUCAGCAGUACCAGUGGAUGCAAAAAGAGAUGUUUUCUAUUCCCCCACAGCAGAACUGCUAAGCAUGCAAAGAGACCCUGCUGCCUGAAGUGAUCUCAGCACAGCUUGAACAAGCUCAAUCUCAGACUCUAAAAAGCUCCUUUGCUGGUUUUGGUAAAAGGCUAGGGCUGAAUUCUCAAAGCUGCUGUUUUACUCUGCUUCAUAUGGAAGAAAUGAAUAAAAGAAAGAUUGUGAAAAAGCCACGUGUGAAUGGGAAAACAGUUUGGAUUGGCAGCCCAGGUGCUGUGUGGCCCAAGACCACUCUCCGUGGUGCCAUCUGCAGGAGGAGGAAAAUUUCCUUGUUGGAACAUCUUGAGAAAAGGACAACUGGUAUGAAAAUCUCUUUUGGAAAAUCUCCCCGCCUGUGAUAUGAACAGUUUCAGAGGUAACGCAGCUGGGGAUAAUUAUACAUUUCUGUCACACACUCCUGAAUGCUCCCUGCUCCGUGGGAGGGUAGGAGGCACAAACGCAGGAGCUUGACCACUCUAGUAGAAUAUUAAAACCCAGGGGAAAACAGACGACUCCUCGUUUAGAGACCACAUUAUGGACUCUGACUGUUUUGUCCUUUGUGUUUCUUUAAAUAAAUACCAGAGAUCUACUCCUGACA
rnacentral:lncRNA from 1 species